rnacentral:rRNA from 1 species
UACAGAGGGUGCAAGCGUUGUUCGGAAUUACUGGGCGUAAAGCGCGUGUAGGCGGCUAAGUAAGUCGGGCGUGAAAUCCCACGGCUCAACCGUGGAAGUGCACUCGAAACUGCAUAGCUAGAGUCCUGGAGAGGAAGGUGGAAUGCUUGGUGUAGAGGUGAAAUUCGUAGAUAUCAAGCGGAACACCGGUGGCGAAGGCGGCCUUCUGGACAGUGACUGACGCUGAGGUGCGAAAGCGUGGGGAGCAAACAGG